GUGGGGAAUAUUGGACAAUGGGCGCAAGCCUGAUCCAGCCAUGCCGCGUGAGUGAUGAAGGCCUUAGGGUUGUAAAGCUCUUUCGACGGGGACGAUGAUGACGGUACCCGUAGAAGAAGCCCCGGCUAACUUCGUGCCAGCAGCCGCGGUAAUACGAAGGGGGCUAGCGUUGUUCGGAAUUACUGGGCGUAAAGCGCACGCAGGCGGUUCGAUCAGUCAGAAGUGAAAGCCCCGGGCUUAACCUGGGAACUGCUUUUGAUACUGUCGAGCUUGAAUCACGGAGAGGGUAGUGGAAUUCCGAGUGUAGAGGUGAAAUUCGUAGAUAUUCGGAAGAACACCAGUGGCGAAGGCGACUACCUGGCCGUCGAUUGACGCUCAUGUGCGAAAGCGUGGGGAGCAAACAGGAUUAGAUACCCCUGUAGUCC
rnacentral:rRNA from 1 species